GACGAACGCUGGCGGCGUGCCUAAUACAUGCAAGUAGAACGCUGAAGCUUGGUGCUUGCACCGAGCGGAUGAGUUGCGCACGGGUGAGUAACGCGUAGGUAACCUGCCUGGUAGCGGGGGAUAACUAUUGGAAACGAUAGCUAAUACCGCAUAAGAGUAGAUGUUGCAUGACAUUUGCUUAAAAGGUGCAAUUGCAUCACUACCAGAUGGACCUGCGUUGUAUUAGCUAGUUGGUGAGGUAACGGCUCACCAAGGCAACGAUACAUAGCCGACCUGAGAGGGUGAGCGGCCACACUGGGACGGAGACACGGCCCAGACGCCUACGGGAGGCAGCAGUAGGGAAUCGUCGGCAAGGGACGGAAGUCUGACCGAGCAACGCCGCGUGAGUGAAGAAGGUUGUCGGAUCGGAAAGCUCUGUUGUAAGGGAAGAACGAGUGUGAGAGUGGAAAGUUCACACUGUGACGGUAUCUGACCAGAAAGGGACGGCUAACUACGUG
rnacentral:rRNA from 1 species